GCGUUGUAGCUCAAUGGCAGAGCAGUUCCGCGACCGGAAAAAGAAAUGAGUUCAAUUCUCAUCAACUGCG
rnacentral:tRNA from 1 species